AUUGAACGCUGGCGGCAGGCCUAACACAUGCAAGUCGGACGAGUCGCGGACGGGUGAGUAAUGUCUGGGAAACUGCCUGAUGGGGGGGGAUAACUCCUGGCAACGGUAGCUAAUACCGCAUACCAUCGGAUGUUCCCAGAUGGGAUUAGCUCGUAGGUGGGGUAAAGGCUCACCUAGGCGACGAUCCCUAGCUGGUCUGAGAGGAUGACCAGCCACACUGGAACUGAGACACGGUCAAGACUCCUACGGUAGGCAGCAGUGGGGAAUAUUGCACAAUGGGCGCAAGCCGUAUGCAGCCAUGCCGCGUGUAUGAAGAAGGCCUUCGGGUUGUAAAGUACUUUCAGCGGGGAGGCGUUACCCGCAGAAGAAGCACCGGCUAACUCCGUGCCAGCCGCCGCGGUAAUAC
rnacentral:rRNA from 1 species